CUCAUUUUUCUCUUGCCGCCACCACGAAAGAAGUGCCUUUUGCCUCCCGUCAUGAUUCUGAGGCCUCCCCAGCCAUGUGGAACUGUUUGAGGCACAGAGCUGUAUAUACAAUAACAGUGAAAUUGAUCCCACUACUAAUUAUGACAAAAAUGAUCUUCCACGUAAACAGGUGGUGAAGCUCCUUAUGGUCCUGACCCUACAGUUCCUGUCCCAUGACCAGGGCCAGAUCACCAAGGAGCUGCAGCAGUUCGUCGUCAGUGGCAGCCCCAUGCGAGCACCCGAGGAAGGGCUGUGACCGUCUAUGACAAGCCAGCAUCUUUCUUUCAAGAGACCUCUGGACCUGCAGCACCAACUCUUCAUGAAGCUGGGCGGCACGCACUCUCCGUUCAGGGCCUGAACCUGAGGACCCAGACACGGAGCGGUCGGCCUUCAUGGAGCGGGAUGCUGGGAGCGGGCUGGUGAUGCGCCUCCGCGAGCGGCCAGCCCUGCUGGUCAGCAGCACAGGCUGGACAGAGGACGAAGACUUCUCCAUCUGCUGGCAGCUUUAGAAAGUAGAGUUUGAACAACUGACUCUUGAUGGACACAACCUUCCUUCUCUCGUCUGUGUGAUAACAGGCAAAGGGCCUCCGAGGGAGUAUUACAGCCGCCUCAUCCACCAGAAGCAUUUCCAGCACAUCCAGGUCUGCACCCCUUGGCUGGAGGCCGAGGACUACCCCCGCUUCUAGGGUCGGUGGAUCUGGGUGUCUGUCUGCACACGUCCUGCAGUGGCCUGGACCUGCCCAUGAAGGUGGUGGACAUGUUCGGGUGCUGUUUGCCUGUGUGUGCCGUGAACUUCAAGUGGCAGGAGCAGAACCCGAAUCUUUCUGGGGAUAGCUUCACAGAUCCACCGCUGAGGAGGAAACAGUGCAGAGCGAGCUGCCCACAGUGAGGCCCUGCUCCUGGUUUACAUGAGCUGGUGAAACAUGAAGAAAAUGGCCUGGUCUUUGAGGACUCAGAGGAACUGGCAGCUCAGCUGCAGGUGCUUUUCUCAAACUUUCCUGAUCCUGCGGGCAAGCUAAACCAGUUCCGGAAGAACCUGCGGGAGUCGCAGCAGCUCCGAUGGGAUUAGAGCUGGGUGCAGACUGUGCUCCCUUUGGUUAUGGACACAUAACUCCUGGGCCAGAGGCUAAAACCCCGGGACCCCUGCUGUCCUUCCCACAGCUUCUUCUCAGAGUCUCAGGGCAAAUCCUUUCGAGCAGCGCCUCCCAGUGGCCAGAAGCUGAAAUGAUGGCAGUAGUGCCACCUGGUGAAUGAAUUGGUUCUGUGACCCGGGAAGCUGUGCUUGGCUCUGAUUUCUUUUCUGGAGGCUCGGAAACACUUCCUCUCUUCUUCUGUUCUUCACGCCCCAUGCCCCUGCUAGCGUAUUACUGUUCUGUGACUUCCCUGUGACCUCUGCAGUACUCCUCAUCCUGCGUUUGGUCUCCAGGUGUCACCUUUCUGCC
rnacentral:lncRNA from 1 species